rnacentral:tRNA from 1 species
GGCCCAGUGGCGAAGUUGGUUAUCGCGCCGCCCUGUCACGGCGGAGGUCGUCGGUUCGAGCCCGAUCUGGGUCG